GGGGUGGGGAUUGCCUCUCUCUUAGGGUUAGCUUGGCUAAGAAGUAAAGGCAAUUUUCAUUUUUCUGUCUUGAUUCUAGAAACUUGAGGGGGGGAGAAAACCCUCUUGCCGCCCUUCGUGGUGCCGUAAGAUUAGUUAAGAGGCCGGCCUAUCGAGAGAGGGACUCUGCAUCUCAUCCAAUCUAAGAGGCUGGCAGUUGCGACAGGCCUCCCAAUUUCAGAGCUGCUUGGCUACGGGAGCACGGCUGCAGAGGUGGUAGGACGCAUGGAUCGAGGGAUGCAGAUCAAGAGCGCGAGAAGAAAUGCGGGUCUUAGAAUCGAUCCAGGAGUUCCCUGCUGGCCUGGCAGUUAAGGAUCUGGUGUUGUGGUUGAUGUGACUCGGGUUUGAUCCCUGGCCUGGGCGUUUCCACAUCCCUCGGGACCAAAAGAAAAAGAAGAAUUGAUACAAUAAGAUAAUGGUUUUCAAGUCCUUCUCUGUUCUGUAUAUGAAUUCUUCUUCUUUUUUUCUUUUUGUCUUUUUAGGGCCGUACCCCUGGCAUAUGGAAGUUCCCAGGCUAGGGGAAGAAUUGGAGCUUCAGCUGCCAGCCUAUGCCAGAGCCACAGCAACUCGGGCUAUGAGCCGCAUCUUUGACCUACACCACAGCUCACAGCAAUGCCAGAUCCUUGACCCACUGAGCGAGGCCAGGGAUCACACCCGAGUCCUCAUGGACACUAGCUGGGUUCAUUACUGCUGAGCCAGGAUGGGAACUCCUGUGUAUGAAUUCUUCUUUGGUGUAGGUCCGAUGCUAAGUACCAGUGAAACCGAAGCCUCCCUGCCUCAUGGAGGCCAGUCGUCAGGUUAUUUAAAGGAAAAGAGCAGCACAGGGAGCCAGUGUAGCCUCUAUUCAGAUCCUGGUUCUACUGUUUGCCAGCUGUGAUUUUAGUAGAGUGACUUUACCACUUCUACCUCUGUUUUCUCAUGUGUGCAAAAUGGGGAUAAUGUAGUGCCUACCUUAUAAACUGGUGAAAUUAAAUAAGUUAAUGGGCUUUUCGUGUGUGUGUGUGUGUGUGUGUGUGUGUGUGGCCACGGCGUGCAGCAGCUUGAUGUGGGAUCUCAGACCCCAGACCAGGGAUUGAACCUGGGCCACAGGGGUGAAAGUACCGAGUCCUAACCCCUAGCCUGCCAGGGAACUCCAGAGUGAACAUUCAGUUACAGUGCUGGUGCUGUUACGGUGAAGUGCUGUUACUAUUACGGUUGCUAAGCCAUUGCUGUUAUUACCACCCUUAUCACCGUCACGAUUGAACCAAAGCAGGCACGGCUGUGUCACAAAGGGAAGCAAUCCAGGAGGAAGCAAUGACGGAGAAAGUAUGUCAGCUCCUAGUUUGGUCCUCAAAUUAGUCAUAGUUGACUUCUGGCCUUCGGGGUGACACUGUCUCCUUGGCCCAGGUCAGGAAGCCUUUUUAUUCUGUGCCUCUGUUUCUUGGUCUGUAAGAUGGAGAGUCAUCACAGGACCUGUCUCCUGACAGGUUUGUUUCAGGGAUUUAGACAGGUUGAGACUGUGCCUGGGAUUGUUUAAGGACUUGCUAUGAGGUUGUCUAAACCUUUCCAGGGGAGGGAAAAAAAAAAAAGACCGCCCCUCUUCAGCAUCAAGUGUUUCCUUGAUUUGGGAUCUUCCCCAAGCCGUCAUCACAGCUCUUAGGCAGUUGUGGAUGGUGUCCCUGCCCUUGUUCCUGAGCCGUUUUCGUGUGAGGCUUAUUUUAUUUAAUUUGUAUAUUUUUUGUUUGUUAGGGCCGCACCCACGGCAUAUGGAGAUUCCCAGGCUAGGGAUCAAAUCAAAUCUGCAGCUGCCCGCCUACGCCAGAGCCACAGCCAUGUGGGACUUGAGCUGCGUCUGCGACCUACACCAUGGCUCACGGCAAAGCCGGAUCCUUAACCCACGGAGCGAGGCCAGGGGUUGAACCUGCGUCCUCAUGGAUACUCGUUGGAUUCAUUACCAUGAGCCACAGUGGGUACUCCAUCCCACAUCAUCUAAUGGUGCUUUUUUUCUUUUACUAUUUCAAAUUAGGAUUCAAAAGGAUUUUGUAUUUAUCAAAGGCUGUGGCCCUGUCCUGUUCCAGCAAACCUGUACACCCCCAUUUCCUUGAUAGUUUCCUUACCUUUCUAUCUGAGCCCUGCUCAGGAGAAAUACAACACCGGCCACAUAGGGAAUUUUAAUUGUCUGGUAGGCACAUUUAAAAAAAAACAAACUCAAAAAACAGGUGGAAUGAUUUUAACAAUGUAUUUUAUUUAACCUAGCACAUGCAAAAUGUUAUCAUUUGGACAUAUACUUAAAGAUAUUUUGUAUUUUUUUUUUCAUACUAAUAUGUCUUUCAAAUCCAUUGUCUUUUUUGUAGCACGUCUGGAUUUGGACUAGCCUCAUCUCAAGGGCUCAAUGGCCCCAGGAAGCUGGGAGUUACUGUAUUGGGCACUGAACGUGUAGCUGGUUUCUCUUAUCUUGUUAAAAAUUAGACAUUGUAGGUCUUGGCAGCACCAGGAUGCAUGUUUGAUCCCCAGCAUGGCCCAUUGGGUUAAAGGAUCUGGCAUUGUCCUAGCCGCGGCAUGAGACUUGGAUCUGAUCCCUGGCCUGGGGACUUCCACGUACUGCAGGGUGGCCAAAAAAGAAAAAAAAAAAA
rnacentral:lncRNA from 9 species